rnacentral:misc_RNA from 1 species
AAGUCGUAACAAGGUUUCCGUAGGUGAACCUGCGGAAGGAUCAUUACUGAGCCUGGGUGCUUCGGCGCCCGACCUCCAACCCCUUGUCUACACACCACUGUUGCCUCGGCGCGUCUACUCUCGCCGGCAGCUUAACCGCUGUCUGCCUUUGGAGCCGCCGGUGGCCUACAACCAAAACUCUUGUUUUAAACCUAGAAUUCUGAGAAGAUAUUUAAUAACUUCAAAACUUUCAACAACGGAUCUCUUGGUUCUG